rnacentral:snoRNA from 1 species
AUGGGACUUUAUCUCUAUAGCUAUGCCAAUACCUAGGUAGUUGUAGUAAACGAAUCCCAGAGAUUCAAAAUCACGCUUUUUGCAGAGUGAACUUGUCUGCUUAAACGCUUUUGCGCCUAAUGCAACCAGUGACGAGUUUUGCUUUGAAAGCUUGAGAAAUUC